CCCAAACUGCCUCUGCCUAGGUAUUAGGACGGUCUUCAAGUGCUUAUAGGCCAACUGUCGCUAUUUUUAUGAAUAAUUGGAAAUAGUAAUCCACCUCUUCAAAUCCUGCGGCAGUUGCACGAACUGACCUCACUCAUUAUCCGCGACCGUUCACCUACUACCGUCGUAUUACACGUAAAUUAAAAGAGUGUUUCAACAUAAUUUGGUGCCCGCCUAAACGUUUUUAUUUUUUUGUUUUUUCACAUAUCUUUCAAAAGCCCUAAAUCAUCUCUCUAGUACGAUUGAAUCAACAAAAUCCCAAAAUUUAUAUUCCUCUUAAAUCUCUUUCGUUCUUCUUUAGCAUAUCAAGUCUGUCCUCUCAUUAUAUCAAAUCUCUUCACCUCCUUCUGCUUUUGACGCAACUGGAAAGAAAGCCGUCGGUGAGAAAAUCCAGGUUUUCCUCUUCUUUCUUUCGGAUUUUCUUUCCCCUCUCCCGGUGUUGCUUUGUGGCGCCCGCGACCAUGCGGUUCCAUACGCUACUCUGGUGGUCUCUGAGCACUAACAUAUAUAUUAAUCUUUAUGCGCUAAUAUCUUGCCGCCGGGAGAGGGGAAGGAAAACUCGGACAAAAGAAGAAGAAGAAAACAUGGAUUAUCCUCACAUUUGUAACACUCGACACCAAAUAUGCAUGAAGCAUCCCAAGAUAAACACAUCUGCUCCGUUAUUAUUAUCACAAACCAUACAACAUGGGAACAUAUGUUGUAAGUUUGCUAUGAAUCUAAAGGGAUGAUGAGAUAAAUGAACGCAACUUUGAUGCGCUGAAAAUUAGCUCUAUAAAGUUUAGAUCUAAUACAUCAUAUCUUGCUCAAAGAAGAAUUCCAUAUUUCAAAGAAGCAAGGAACUUACUCACAUGUUGGGUUUUCUUUUGAAGCAAAUGUCAAAGAAGAAUUCCAUAUUUCAGAUGCUGAUGAUGAUGAAGAUGCAGCAUAUUUUUGAUCUAGAAGGUUAUAAUCUGAUUGCAUACUCAAGGCAUUGCAUGUCAAUCCCGCUUCUGGUGUAUCUAUUAAUAAAGGUUAUCAUCGUCACAUUACAUGUUGAUCCUGCUUCCGGUGUAUCUAUUGAUAAAGGUGCUAAAGUCUUGAAGCCAUCUGUAAGGU